GCAUCAGCCAUGGCGCGGUGAAUACGUUCCCGGGCCUUGUACACACCGCCCGUCAAGCCAUGGGAGCCGGGGGGUGCCUGAAGUUCGUGACCGCAAGGAGCGACCUAGGGCAAAACUGGUGACUGGGCUAAGUCGUAACAAGGUACC
rnacentral:rRNA from 1 species